rnacentral:rRNA from 1 species
GCCUGAUGCAGCAACGCCGCGUGAGGGACGACGGCCUUCGGGUUGUAAACCUCUUUUAGCAGGGAAGAAGCGAAAGUGACGGUACCUGCAGAAAAAGCACCGGCUAACUACGUGCCAGCAGCCGCGGUAAUACGUAGGGUGCAAGCGUUAUCCGGAAUUAUUGGGCGUAAAGAGCUCGUAGGCGGUUUGUCGCGUCUGCUGUGAAAACUGGGGGCUCAACCCCCAGCCUGCAGUGGGUACGGGCAGACUAGAGUGCGGUAGGGGAGAUUGGAAUUCCUGGUGUAGCGGUGGAAUGCGCAGAUAUCAGGAGGAACACCGAUGGCGAAGGCAGAUCUCUGGGCCGUAACUGACGCUGAGGAGCGAAAGGGUGGGGAGCAAACAGGCUUAGAUACCCUGGUAGUCCACCCCGUAAACGUUGGGAACUAGUUGUGGGGUCCAUUCCACGGAUUCCGUGACGCAGCUAACGCAUUAAGUUCCCCGCCUGGGGAGUACGGCCGCAAGGCUAAAACUCAAAGGAAUUGACGGGGACCCGCACAAGCGGCGGAGCAUGCGGAUUAAUUCGAUGCAACGCGAAGAACCUUACCAAGGCUUGACAUAUACGAGAACGCUGCAGAAAUGUAGAACUCUUUGGACAC